UACGAAGGGUGCAAGCGUUACUCGGAAUUACUGGGCGUAAAGCGUGCGUAGGUGGUUCGUUAAGUCUGAUGUGAAAGCCCUGGGCUCAACCUGGGAAUGGCAUUGGAUACUGGCGACCUAGAGUGCGGUAGAGGGGUGUGGAAUUCCCGGUGUGGCAGUGAAAUGCGUAGAUAUCGGGAGGAACAUCAGUGGCGAAAGCGGCGACCUGGGUAGAUACUGACGCUGAGGUGCGAAAGCGUGGGGAGCAAACAGG
rnacentral:rRNA from 1 species